rnacentral:rRNA from 1 species
AACGAACGCUGGCGGCGUGGAUAAGACAUGCAAGUCGAGCGGGACACAUUCGGUAGCAAUAUCGGAUGUGUUUAGCGGCGCAAGGGUGCGUAACACGUGGGUAAUUUGCCGUAAAGCUGGGGAUAACUCCGGGAAACCGGAGCUAAUACCGAAUGUGGCAUUGGGAGGCAUCUCCUGAUCGCUAAAGCUGGGGACCCGAAAGGGCCUGGCACUUUACGAUAAGCCCGCGGCCUAUCAGCUAGUUGGCGAGGUAACGGCUCACCAAGGCAGAGACGGGUAGCUGGUCUGAGAGGACGACCAGCCACACUGGAACUGAGACGCGGUCCAGACACCUACGGGUGGCAGCAGUCGAGAAUUUUUCACAAUGGGCGCAAGCCUGAUGGAGCGACGCCGCGUGGGGGAUGAAGGGCUUCGGCUCGUAAACCCCUGUCAGUCGCGAACAAUGCUUACCCGUGAAUAACGGGUGAGUUGAUAGUAGUGACAGAGGAAGGGACGGCUAACUC